CCUACGGGGGGCUGCAGUAGGGAAUCUUCCACAAUGGACGAAAGUCUGAUGGAGCAACGCCGCGUGAGUGAAGAAGGGUUUCGGCUCGUAAAACUCUGUUGUUGAAGAAGAACACAUCUGAGAGUAACUGUUCAGGUGUUGACGGUAUUUAACCAGAAAGCCACGGCUAACUACGUGCCAGCAGCCGCGGUAAUACGUAGGUGGCAAGCGUUGUCCGGAUUUAUUGGGCGUAAAGCGAGCGCAGGCGGUUUCUUAAGUCUGAUGUGAAAGCCUUCGGCUUAACCGGAGAAGUGCAUCGGAAACUGGGAGACUUGAGUGCAGAAGAGGACAGUGGAACUCCAUGUGUAGCGGUGAAAUGCGUAGAUAUAUGGAAGAACACCAGUGGCGAAGGCGGCUGUCUGGUCUGUAACUGACGCUGAGGCUCGAAAGCAUGGGUAGCGAACAGGCUUAGAUACCCGAGUAGUC
rnacentral:rRNA from 1 species